rnacentral:rRNA from 1 species
UCAGACGAUGCGUCAUGCAUAUCAAUAAGCGGAGGAAAAGAAACUAACAAGGAUUCCCCUAGUAACGGCGAGUGAAGCGGGAAGAGCUCAAAUUUGAAAUCUUAAAGGGUUUCCCUUUACGAAUUGUAGUUUAAAGAAGUGUUUUCUGUUGAGGUUUUGGUAAAAGUUCUUUGGAAUAGGACAUCAUAGAGGGUGAGAAUCCCGUAUUUGACCUUUACUUUCAACUUUGUGAUACACUUUCAAAGAGUCGGAUUGUUUGGGAAUGCAGUCCAAAAUGGGUGGUAAAUUUCAUCUAAAGCUAAAUAUUGGCGAGAGACCGAUAGCGAACAAGUACCGUGAGGGAAAGAUGAAAAGAACUUUGAAAAGAGAGUUAAACAGUACGUGAAAUCGUCAAAAGGGAAGCGUUUGACACCAGUGUUGUUUUUCUGAAAAUCAAUUAAAGAACUGUUUAUGCUAAGCUGUUUAGACUUUAUCAGCUAAUCUGUUUAGUUUUGAGCUUUUCUUUAAUGCACUUUUCAGUUAACAAGUCAACAUCAAUUUCUUUUGCUGUAAAAAAGCUUGAGGAAGGUGGCUUGAGAUUCGUCUUAAGUGUUUAUAGCCUCUUGCCUAUGCAGUCGGAGAGAUUGAGGUCUGCAGCGUAGAUCCUUCGGGGCUAAAUGCAUUUGUGCUAAGUUAUAGCAUUUCAUAGACAACUUGUUGACUAUGAUUUGUCUUGUAGCUUACUCGCUUAUGUUAUUUUACCUACGCUUAGGAUGUUGAAUCUGUGCGAGACUAC